rnacentral:rRNA from 1 species
UACGUAGGGGGCAAGCGUUGUCCGGAUUUAUUGGGCGUAAAGAGCGUGUAGGCGGCCAGACAGGUCCGUUGUGAAAACUCGAGGCUCAACCUCGAGAUGUCGAUGGAAACCGUCUGGCUAGAGUCCGGAAGAGGAGUGUGGAAUUCCUGGUGUAGCGGUGAAAUGCGCAGAUAUCAGGAGGAACACCAGUGGCGAAGGCGGUUCUCUGGGCAUUACCUGACGCUGAGGAGCGAAAGUGUGGGGAGCGAACAGG